rnacentral:rRNA from 1 species
AUUGGUGAUGAUAGCGGUGAGGGUACACCUGGUCACAUCUCGAACCCAGUAGUUAAGCUCAUCUGCGCCGAUGGUACUUGAGGGGUAGCCCUCUGGGAGAGUAGGACGUUGCCAAUA